rnacentral:rRNA from 1 species
CUAAGCCUACGGGAGGCAGCAGUGGGGAAUAUUGCACAAUGGGGGAAACCCUGAUGCAGCGACGCCGCGUGGGUAAAGAAGUAUUUCGGUAUGUAAAGCUCUAUCAGCAGGGAAGAAAAUGACGGUACCUGACUAAGAAGCCCCGGCUAAAUACGUGCUAGCAGCCGCGGUAAUACGUAGGGGGCAAGCGUUAUCCGGAUUUACUGGGUGUAAAGGGAGCGUAGACGGCAGCGCAAGUCUGGAGUGAAAUGCCGGGGCUCAACCCCGGAACUGCUUUGGAAACUGUGCAGCUAGAGUGCGGGAGG